rnacentral:lncRNA from 1 species
AUGAAAAUCCAGCUUGGGCCGGUGCCAGAGGGCUCGCUUUCCAGCACACCCACCUGGGUCUCCGACAUAAAAGAGGUCAGGAAAGCCAGAUGCCUUCCUCAUUUGGUGGAGAAAGGGGCUCAUGGCAGCGUAGGCGGCAGGUGCUUCAAAACAUCAGGGAAUAACUGCGAGGGCAGGCUGCCCUGCCAAAGGUGGACUCUCCAGCUUUACGGCUUCCCAGACCUCACCUGCCUACUCCCAACUGGGAGUAGCGGCCUGACAGAGGAGGUGUCCAGAAAUGGUUCUUACCGGGGCUGCCAGAUGCUUCCGAGCGACGAUUACACCCGGAGUCAACAAGAACUCACCGGCCAGCCCCCUCCCACAUGGACCAACUGCAAUCCGCAAGGUGACGUCACAAAGGCUGCAGGGUCAGCGUCUUACAAAUCAAGUGUUCCUGAGCCCAAGGCAAUGCAAAAUCCAGAGGCACGAAGUCCAGAGAAGAGAGGAUGCUACUGCCCAGUCCCCUUCUACUCCUGCCGUCCUCAUGAUCACAACCUGGCUGCUAUGCUUAGGCACCCUCGAUGUAUUCCAGGAAGGGAAGGAAGGAAGCUCCACCCAAUACACUCAUGCUUCCAGCUAACUGACCACAAGCAGAUACCUGGCAAACCAGCACAGAGCGAAGCUGCAAACUGCAUUCACCCAGUGGACCAGAGACAGAAUGGUUUGGAAGGAGGAACGGCAAAUGUUACCGGAAAGAACAAAGGUCAGGCCAGUUGCUGCUUGAAAACCAGUCCUCCAGAGCCAAGCGUUGAUGCAGGGAGGUCGGGCUCAUCUAGAAGUCAGCCGCUUGAAGGGGGCGCAGGCUUUCAGCACAAACACCUGCCCAGAUGCUCAAGCUCACAGGAUUUUUUUUAA